rnacentral:lncRNA from 1 species
AUUAUCUUUGGUUAUGGCCACUUGUUGGGCCCAGGCAAAGUGUAGCAGCAUAAGAAAACACAAGACACAUAAUAAAUUCAUAUUUCAGCAAGAUUAGCCUCUUCUGGAGCAGGCACUUUUUUGCAAUGUGAGGCGUGUAUCCAAGAACUCUUCCCGGCUAGUUUAACUGACGUUGCUGUAAUCAGGAGCACUUGAUAUGGGCCAUCAAAUCUUGGUUCUAGGGUGUGUUUCCUGAGAAACUUCUUGACCAUAACCCAAUCACCAGGAAGCAGCUUGUGUGUAC